ensembl:snoRNA small nucleolar RNA SNORA68
GUGGCACACAAACCCAAAGGUCAUUAUAAGCACAUAUAAUGCUCUUGUCAUGUGUGCACACAUCAAAAAGAACCUCGUCGCCUUCCAUAAGCUGCUGUGCUGACGGAAGUGAAAUCGUGGAUCAACAGUU